rnacentral:lncRNA from 1 species
GAGCUCCGCGCUGCCGCCGCCCCCGGCCCGGCCGCGCUUCCGCCCGCGUCAGCUGACUCUGCCAGGCAGCGGCCCGGCCCGGCACCGAGCCCGCGGAGCCUCCGGCGCGGCCACCCGCAGCAUGGCAGGGGCCGUGGUGAGCGGAGCGCAGGUGUCCUAUAUUAGUCAGGACUGUGAAGAAAUUCCAGAAUUCCUAGGAAGGAAAUAUGGGCACAUGGCAAAAAGGCUAGAUCUUAGCUUCAACUUGCUAAGGGAUGCUCUGCUGGUGGAAAUAAUCUUCAGUCCCUAAAAGGAAAGGUUUGCAUGUGAGAUCUUGUGACUGUGCGCUGCUACCAAAGGAGGUAAUGCUGUGCUUUCUUGCUUUGAGGUUGCUCAAGUGUGGUUUCUUUUUGCUAGGUAUAGCCUUGCUAUUUUAUUGUACCUGAAAAACAAAUGUUUUGCAUCAACCUUAUUUGCUAGGAGUGUUUUAUUCUGAGUGUAAGAGAUUGAAGGUUUUUGUUUUCUCUUUUGGAUUCUUUUUGGAGACUGAACUUGCAUGCAUGGGGUUUUCUUGAAGUUUUUAAGCCUUCAUGAGGGAGACUACAUGGAAUUCAUUGGUGAUGAACUAGUGGUUAUUGCAUAGUCAACGAUUUAAAUUGCUGCAUGAUUUUGUGUAAUGCUUGCAGGUUCUGGAGAAACAUUUCAUUAUUGGGCAUAUUUGAGAAAAUUUGUCUUCCUGUUGAGACUGUGUGUGUGAGAGCUUCAAGUAAAACUUAUGUAGUUGUGGGCAGUAAGUUUCUUUGAGGCAUUAAGUUAUCACCUAAGAAAAAUUAUUCUUUGCUUUUAUUAGCUAAACACAUUCCUAACUUUUGCUGAUAUUUAAGGUAUAUAAUGAUGUACUUUGUGGGAUUGAAUAAUUUAAGCUUUGUAGAGCACUGGCGUCUCUUCGUGAUCAAACCAUGUUUGUUUCCUUAUACAAUAAAUGUAGAUAAAGUGACUGCAGAAUUGUUCAUGUGGUUAUUUUAAGGAUGAUGUUAUUAAUUGGUUCUAGUAGGAAGAGUGUUGAGGCUUAAAAGAGAAACAUACGUUGAAUUUGGGUGGUGGAAGAGAGGUCCAUUUUAGUUGCUAAUCCAAGUGCAGAUAAAAGAAUGAGCUUCCUAUUGAGCUUGACAUGAGUUCAGAAUUCAUCAGAUUAGAGACUGUUUUUUGAGAUUUGCAUGGGAUAGUGAAGGGAGGAAACCUGCAGUAAUUUCCAAGUGCUUUAUUAGCUGUUCUUACUGUAUCAUAUAAUGCAAGAAGCACUAAUUAUCAGUCAUAUCAAUUUGAUAUGAAGAAUAAAACUCUGGGCAAAGUUUAAUUCUCUUUGUAGUCAAUAUGAGGGAAAAAUGUGAGCUAAAAAUCUUGGUGUUCUCUAGCGUUGCUAUAUGCGAAAAGCAGAGAUAUCUUAUGGAAUUAUAUGGAGCAGUGCUUGACAAUUCCUAAUGCAUAUUUUAAUGCAAUAAAAAAUAAGGUAGUAAAUUUAAAUAACUAAAGUUUAAACAAAAUAUUUUAUAAUAAUUACAUCCACUGUAAUUGUGAACUCCGAUAUAGUCACAACUAUUUAGCUAAUAGAAUUUAUAAUUGUAGUACUGAAUCCAUCUUUCAUAAAGUAACAUUACUGGUU